GUACCGAGGCAAAAUUCAUAGUUGUAGUUGUCUGCAAUUUACUAUGGGAAAAGGUCAGAAGAUUGUCCUUCCAGCGUGUCGUGGCCACCUCCCCACAGCACCGCCUCCAUCCAGCGCGCCGCCCUGCUUCCCCACAGCGUGCCGCUGCAGGCGUAACCCUACAUCGCACAUUGAGAAAUGGUGGCGCGCGGGGUGUGAGGCGGCGUCUCCCCACCAUUUUUGUAGGUUGCCGCAAAAACAAGAUGCACAAGUUCAUCUUUUGUAUGCUUUUCAGUACAUCUACUUCCCAAUGGUGAGUCCGAUUUCCUUUGUGUUUCCAUCGUCAUGUAGCACAAACAAUUGCUUGUGGUUAUGCUUGAGUACCGUACUGUCAAUUGGUUAACCAAUUUUAUAAUGAAGAUGUGCUGUUUGAGGUUGUUUGAAAUAAACUAUGCAAAAAUUGAAAGUGUCAAAGUCCACCUUGCAAAACAACAUCAGUUAUCUUCAAUUCAAGUACAUAAGAAAACAUAAGCCCACUCUAUAAAAACAACAAUAGAUGUAGGAAGUUCAGUUUGGCUAUAUGCGAUUGGUAAUGCAGAUGUGUUCUUUUGUGGUGGAGAUUUCGGGAGUAAACUAUGCAAACAAUUUAAAAGUACUAAGUCCAACAUGCAAACCAGUAGCAGUUCUAUAAGUGCAACAUGCAUCAAAUUCAGAAAAUAGCAAACCUGGCUUGAAACAAAUUCACAUCUGGUUGUUUAGUUCAUAGCUCAUCGUUUCUAAUAUAAGCCAAUGCUUCUAUUAUAAUAUAGUUGUUUAUUCUGUAGCUCACUUUUUCUAAUAUAAUGUUAAAAGUCCACUAGAUGAAAAUUUCUCUGUUUUAGCUAUAUCAGUACUAGUGCUCAUCGGUACAACAAAGUAGCAGUAAUGAUCAGUACAACUUACAAAGUACUAGUCGAUACCGAUUUGCAGCAGUGUAGUUUGUACCGAUUUUAAAGAUGGCUCUGUAUAGUAUUGGUCAGUCAUUUCGUUAAACUGCCUCGGUUGGCAGCCUGAACGAACUGGGCGUGGUGGCUGUGAACGGCCCCGGACUAGAGCAGAGGGCGUUCAGGACCUGCGUAAUGGCCGGGUGGCUGUGAAUGACCAUGCAGGCUCCGUGCUCCAUCUCCUGGGUAACGGCGACGAUGCCCAAGCCUAACAACAACAACAAUGCGUUGGGAGAUGGCGUUUACCUGUGCGGCAGCAAGGAUGAUAGUGAUGACACCUAUAGAAUUGUUUCCUGUGUUGCUACAUUAUCAGUCCAAAGGGUGGUGAAGAUGCAGUCCUCGCGCGAGCCACCGCCGGCCACCUUCCUCCGGUGAGCAACCGCCGGCCGCCUUCCUCGCGCGAGCCUUCGUCGUCUGCCUUCCUCCGGCGAGCAACCGUCGGCCGCCUUCCUCCGGCGAGCCACCACCGGCCGCCUUCCUAUGCCGCGUCUGCCUUUGCGCGCUGCGCUGUGUCUCCACUACCGCCUCUGGUCACGCACCGCCCCGUUCAUGGCUAGCUUGUGUAUGGAACCUGCAAGUUCAACAUUUGCACUAUAUUCAGUUCUUGUACUCCCCCCACACCAUCCUCGGCACCCCUCACUCGCGCCACGGCUGCAGCUUCACUCCCGUGCGCCACCGUCGGCUGCCGCGCCAUGGCCUGCGCUCAACGGCUGCGGGUGGAGCCGCUGGGUCGAGGAACUUUGCCUCGACAGCACAACAUCACACUCUGCUAUCGGUCGCGAGAAGAGCUGCGUGCAGGCCACCCCGUGUCUGCCCUCGAUCCGUCUCAGUCAUCUCCCUCUCAUCCUCUCUCUCCAGUCUGCAUUUAUGUGUGCAGGGAGCGGGAGGAGAUAGAGCAGGGGAGUGGGAGGCCCUUCCAUGGCAAAUUCGUUGGCAUCUUCUAUGGAGAUUGCGACCUCUCUUGAUUUUUGCUUGAGGAUUUCUCCUCUGGAUCUGUCCACUGUAGUUCCUGUAUAGCGGUGUCCUUUUUUCUAGUGUUCCUCAAUAUUGAUGCAUGUGUUUAAUAACCCACUCAUACGAAUUCUAAAAACAAGCUUCAGUACAAGAAAAAUGGGUCGUUCAGUUCAAUUCCUGUUGCUAUCAAGCUUCAGUACAAAUGGUAAGAACUAAGAACUAGUUCUAUUCCUGCUACUAUCAAGCUGUUUGUUGAUAUGCUUACAAGAAAUGAAAUAUCCUUUUUGAUGUUUCUUUGUUGCCAAAUAAAAAGCUAAUAUUUACGGACAUGUGCAGUAUAAACAUUUGUUAUGGAGUAGUACGCAUUUUAAAACUUUUAUAUAAUUGCAAAAAAAAACAGUAUUCUCAUUCCCAAAAACCUACAAAAAAACAUCAGCUUAUAUUGAUAGUUUUGGUUCUAGUCCUUAUGGCCCGGUUCUAGUAACUGUGUCGCCCGCUCGUUUUAGUUUUUUGUUAUCUCUCCUGGAUGCUUUUGAAGAGCUUUAAUUGUUUUUAGUUCAUCUUUUGAAUUCUUUUCAGUACAUCUACUUACCAAUCGUAAGUCCAGUUUCCUUUGUGUUUCCAUGCUAUUUCUAUAGCACAACAGGUGUGUGUGGUUAUGUUAAUGAUCGCAUGUAACAAAGUUUAUUUUGUAAGUUCAGAGAAGCAACGAGGUAAAAGCAAAACACUAAAACCAUGCAAUUCUUGUAAAGAUAUCUGAAAGUUCAACAAUAAAAAUUAUAUAAGUUUAGUCUCAAGUGGAGAGAAGUUGCUGCAUCUCUGUCUGCCUGUGGAUGCUCGUGUGCUAUUGUUGCUUUCUCCCCUUCCUGUACAUGCUGCUACUCACCUUUUUAUCUCUCUAAUGCGUUGUGUUGCACUACUACAGCUCGAUCCAGGAGGUGCUAGCUCAUGCUGGCUGGAACUAGGAUGCAAAAGGGUUGACGGAUCCAUGCCGCACAAGCACUGGUGCUCUACUUUCUUCUUACUUUGUGUUCUAAUUUGCUUUCUUCUUAUUUUCAGUUUGCGAGAUACAGAAAAAAGUUUAAAAUAUGUUGUGCCUGGAGUUCAUAUUAUUUGCUACCCCAGGAUGUACGUCUAUAGUUUCUCCCUCCAAAUGUGUUGAUCCAUGUGGUUGUAUUUUCUGUGUUUCUCCCUCCAAAUGUAUGCAAGUACAGAAGUUGCACACAAACCGAAGUUUGUUUUAGUGAGAAAAAUGCAUACUGUCUUCUAUAACUCAUUUCACUUCACGAUUACUUCACCAGUUUGUUGUUUCCUAUUUCUCAUAAUUCCUAAAUGUUCUACUCAACUUCAGCGCCAUGCUCAGUCCAACCACGUGGCUUCAGGGUGGCCGAGUUCGUCGCGACCAUCAGUUCAGAGACCUGCGUCACUGCUCGUGUCGCUACCAUGGCCACCUGCAUCACUGCGUGAUCAGUCAACAACCUCCUGCACAAGGAAAAGCAACAGGAGUAGAGGCGUCUGAGAUGCUCUUUUCUGGCGAGGUGGCUGAUUAUGGUUGUCAGUUUGUAAUACUUUGGCCGCAGUGUACUUAUGUAUCUUUUUCUGGCCGGAGCAUGACCUGAACUUGUGUCAGUAAGAACUUUGAUUGUGAUGGUACUACAAACUCUAUAAAAACACCAGCAAUCCAUUUUUACCGGUACUUACCUUUUAUUCAAUUCACAUGGAUUGUGCCCCUAUUACCAAUUGUGUACAAAAAUGCACCAUGCUCACCAUUUUAUUUUAGUUCGUCAGUUUGUAAUACUUUAAAGAGAGGAGGUAAAAGUGAGCCCUUCGGUUUUGUAUUAUAAAAAGUGCUAAUGUGAGAAACUUCAAAACCAUCUUGUUUAAUAAGUUCUGCUUGUUCCGUGUAUAGUAUUUAUUGAGCUAAAAAUGGUAUGGUUCAUACAUUCUCGUCCAUCUCGUUGUAAUCAUCCUUGUUUUUGUGAGUUUCCUGAUGCAACUUUUGUGGUCAGUCCAGAUGGGAGAAGGUGAUCCGUCCAAAGUGUAAUUCGGUCACGUUGACGUCCAAGCUCUACAACUGAUCCGUACAAACAAAAACGGUGGUCCAUUCUACAAAGGAAAAAUGUUUGAAUUAAAUAUAUUGAUCAGUACAAGUUAAAAAU
rnacentral:lncRNA from 1 species